UUCAGGGCCAGGCUUGAUGGGACCCUGGGCAGCCUGAGCUGGUGGGGAGCAUCCAGCCCAUAGCAGGGGUUAGUGCUUGGUAUGGCUGCAGCACCCUCACCCACUGCAAUCUGUUCCCAGCUGUUGACAUCAGCUAUGUUCUCCAGGGCACACAGUGCCUCUCAGCAGACCAUGGCUCAGCAGCAGGAACACGGUGUGAGCGGGGGCAGCUUGGGGACAGCACAGGAACAAGCUGUGUUGCUGCAAGGCUCUGCAAGCGGGGUUGCAGCUGCCAAAGCAAGGAGGAAAAGGGCAUCUCUAGGUUGACCUUGGCUGGAAAUCAUGGCUCCUGAAAUGUCUGCUGCCCUGAGUGGUCACAGCCAGCCCUGCCCUCUCCUGGACACAGCUUGCUGGGUAUUGUCCCAGGUUGAGAGGAGUGCAGCAUUGGCUGUUUGAGGGGCUCAGCUCACGUGAGUCCAUUCAUGGAACCUGAGUGUUGAUUUGCCAUGUGAGCAGAGCUCCUUGGAAAACAGGCUCACGGGGCAGGGAAACACACAUUGCUCUGCAUCCUGACACCUCCUUGGCAAGCAGGCGCUGGCUAUAAUUAGUGCCCAGCAGCCUGCGACGUGUCCAUCCCUGCUGCAUGGGUAGAGCUGUGCAGGUGGGCACCGGGGCUGCAGCUCUGCUCCCAUGUUGGGGCCUCACAUUGGGGUCCUCUCCUCAGCUGCUCCCUGCAAAGCCUGGGCAGAGCAGAGCUGGCAUGGAUGGAGCAGCACAUCUGUCCAAAUGAAGGCAGCUCCUUGGGAACAGCCAUUCCUCAUCCCUGCAUCCAGGGCUGCUUAUGAAAUUACUGGGGCCAUACAAAUGGCAAGUUUUGUUUCAGCAGACACGGUGCCUUGCAGGAGAUAAAUCUCUGACCCGGGCUUGGAUCUGCCUUGAUACCCACAUGGGAUGCCCCUGCUGCUGCCACCCUCCAUGUCAUAUCCCACACGUCGGAGUUGGACAUUGCUACUGACAAGGAAUGGUCAUGGCUCUGAGGGAUGGGCUCGUGCUGUGCCACGUAGCGAUCCACCCCAAAUCCAUCCACCAAGCUCCAGUUUGCCUUCAUGUCAUCUCCUUCACCAGCAUCAGCUGAGGAGCUCCUGUGCUGCUCAGACUGUACAGCCCAAAAUCACAAUGUAAAACAAGAGAAAAGCAUUUAAAUGGCAGCAGAAAA